AACCUUGCAAGAAAACUU
rnacentral:snRNA from 1 species